AUCUCUGUAGCGCAAUGGGUAGCGUGUUGGACUUCUAAUCCAGGGGUUAGGCUCGAAUCCUAUCUGGGAUG